GACGUAGGGCGCGAGCGUUGUCCGGAUUUAUUGGGCGUAAAGAGCUCGUAGGCGGCUUGUCGCGUCGAAUGUGAAAACUCGGGGCUCAACUCCGAGCUUGCAUUCGAUACGGGCAGGCUAGAGUUCGGUAGGGGAGACUGGAAUUCCUGGUGUAGCGGUGAAAUGCGCAGAGUAUCAGGAGGAACACCGAUGGCGAAGGCAGAAUCUCUGGGCCGGUAAGCUGACGCUGGAGGAGCGA
rnacentral:rRNA from 1 species